GACAGAGGGCUCAAACGUUGUUCGGAAUUACUGGGCAUAAAGCGCACGCAGGCGGCUUGCUAAGUCGGGUGUGAAAUCCCUUGGCUCAACCGAGGAACUGCAUUCGAUACUGGUAGGCUCGAGGACGGGAGGGGUAAGCGGAACUCCAGGUGGAACGGUGAAAUGUGUAGAUAUCUGGAGGAACACCAAUGGCGAAGGCAGCUCGCUGGGACGUGACUGACGCUGAGACGCGAAAGCGUGGGGAGCAAACAGG
rnacentral:rRNA from 1 species